AUGCCAAAAUCCCUGAGACACCCCCGGGCUCCCAAUUCCUACUCAGAAACAUCUGGGAAUUCCCUCAGUGUCUCCUUCCCGUCCCAAAACAUCCAGGAAUUCCUUCAGUGCUCCAUUCCCAUCCCAAGAAAAAUGGGAAUUUGCUCAGUGCUCACAUCUCACCCCAGAAAGAACAGGACUUCCCUCAAUGUUUCAUUGCUAUACCCCAAAAAACCAGGAAUUCCCUCAGUGUCCCCUUCCCAUCCUAUAAAACCCAGGAAUCCCCUCAGUGCUCCCUCCUCAUCCCAAAUAAACCGGGAAUUCCCUCAGGGUUCACUCCUCAUCCCAAAGCAUCCAGGAAUUCACUCAGUGACCCCUUCCUAUCCUAGAAAACCCAGCAAUUCCCUCAGUGUUCCAUUCCCACCCCAAAACAUCCAGAAUUUCCCUCAGAGUUCACUCCUCAUCCCAAAAUAUCCAUUAAUUAUCUCAGUGUUUCACUCCCAUCCCAAAAAUGCCGGGAAUCCCCUCAGAGUUCGAUACUCAUCCCAAAUAAACCAUGAAUCCCUUCAGCGUCCUCUUCCCACCCCAAAACUUCCAGGAUUUCCCUCAGCGUUCACUCCUCACCUCCAAACAUCCGUGAAUCCCCUCAGUGUCUCACUCCCAUCAAAACACAUCCGUGAAUCCCCUCAGUGUUCACUCCCCAUCCCAAAAAUCCCCUCAGUGCUCCCUUCACACCCCAAAACACCCAAGAAUUCCCUCAGUGUCCCAUUCCUAUCCCAAAAAUCCCCUCAGUGUCCCGUUCCCAACCCGAGCUCCCGAUGUCUCCCCUCAGGCCCCGGUGUCCCCUCAAAUUCCCGUAUCCCCCUCAUGUCCCGGUGUCCCCCCAAACUCCGGGUGUCCCCUCAGGUCCCGGUGUCCCCCGGUGUCCCCUCAUGCCCCGGUGUCCCCUCCGUGCUCCCCGCGCUCCCCUCAGGCGCCGCCGCGCUCCCAGCUCCGAGCGCUCCAACGUCACCGUUCCCCACACCCGCCCCAAACCGCGGCAAUUCCGCAAAACCGCACCGGGAACGCUCCAAACCCGCCCGGGACAGGCCGCAGGGCCGUGCCCGCAGAGUCCCCUCCGCCCCGGGCCGCCCUCAGCGCGUCCUCCCCUCACGGAGCGGGCGGGGGCGGCCCCGCGGGGCGGGAGCGGCCUGGGCCUAA
rnacentral:lncRNA from 1 species